GACGAACGCUGGCGGCGUGCCUAACACAUGCAAGUCGAACGAGGUCCAUCCUUCGGGAGAAGACCUAGUGGCGAACGGGUGAGUAACACGUGAAGAACCUGCCCCGAAGACCGGGAUAACCCUCCGAAAGGAGAGCUAAUACCGGAUACCCCCACCGAACCGCAUGGUUUGGUGAGGAAAUGGAUUCCGCUUCGGGAGGGCUUCGCGGCCUAUCAGCUAGUUGGUGGGGUAACGGCCACCAAGGCAUCGACGGGUAGCUGGUCUGAGAGGACGAUCAGCCACACUGGGACUGGGACACGGCCCAGACUCCUACGGGAGGCAGCAGUGGGGAAUCUUGCGCAAUGGGCGAAAGCCUGACGCAGCAACGCCGCGUGGGGGAUGAAGGCUCUCGGGUUGUAAACCCCUUUCAGCAGGGACGAAUCAAGACGGUACCUGCAGAAGAAGCCCCGGCUAACUACGUGCCAGCAGCCGCGGU
rnacentral:rRNA from 1 species